UAUUUCUAUGUCUUAAUCAUCUGGUGAUCAAUCCUUGUUAGUUAAUUGAGUUUUAUUUAAAAUAAUUUCACAAAUCAAUUGAGGUGACUGUUUAAGUGGAUUUAAAUUAGCAAAAACUUGAUAAUUAGAAUAGUUAUUAUUACUUGUUCUUUGUGGGUUUGACAUCUUUCUUACUUCUAUAUAUUCUUUAAUUGACUGUGUAUACUUGCGUGAAUUGUCAUUAUAUAAAACAUACAACACUUCACAACCGUUUCUGCAUACAUUGGACCAUCAGUAGUAUGAUAUGGAUAAAGAUCAACCGCAUUAAAAGUCAUUGAUUUUCUGUAGAAUUGUAUAACGACCAUAUUUCUUUUGCUAUAACUUGUCAUAAGUACCAACAGAAACCUUUCCUUGCGCAAGUACUACACCAUCACUUGAUCCCUUUUCUCAAAAGCCAACUUUUGGCAAUGUUUGUCAGCAAGCUUCUUGUAAUGUGCAUAUUAGUGUGCUCAAUCUUUUGCUUCACCUCUGCAUGCAUAGCUUGAACCUCAUCCGUCAUGUUGGCAGUUUCCUUGCUCACGCCAGGUCACUUAGGUAAACUGACCAAAUCAAUAUUUAGUAUAAACAAUAGAAAAUGGAAAUUUUCCUGUAGCGCUAUGUUCAACACUCUUAUAAGCAAACUCCACGUGUUAAGCCAAAUUUCAUUGUUAGAAUUCAGAAAGAUGUUAAAAUUGGUGUUAAGUAAAAGGGUAGGUGUCAAAAUUUAAUUUUAGAGUUAAUUGGUGUUAAGUAAAAGGAUAAGUGUCAAAAUUUAAGUAAUGAGACACAAGGAAACAGAGAAAAUAGGGACAGAAAAUGGGGACAGAGGAUGUGCUCUCUUUUGUUGAGCAUGUCCGAAUAUCAUCGUCCGUAAGCUCAGUACUUGUUGGUACUAAGACUCAGACCUUGGAGGUGGCAGAAACCUGCACGAUUACGCAUUGUCAUAGUUUCAGUUAGACCGAUGAAAUCAAUAACUUCACUGAUCCGGAGACGGAGCCAUUAAGGGGCCUGGGGUCUCCGGCUACCCUGGUUUUUUUAAAAAAUAAAUAAAAUUGACCCUUUAAAUUUUUUCUUUAGGCCCCAAGUUUUUUUGAUAAAAACUAAUAACAUAUAGGAAAAAUUGUUGAAAAAUUAUCUUAUGGUGAAUGUUGAGAGAUAAAUUGCUAAAAAAAUCUUUUUAGAAUAAACUACGAAAAGUUAAUAUGUAUGUCAAUGUUAAAUAUAUUAUUAUUAUUAUUAUGAUAUAUUAUUAUUAAAUAAAUUUUAUGAUGUUAAUUAUUAAAAGAUUUUUUUAUAUUUAUAUUUUUUAUUACUAAAGUUACUUUAUAUUUGAGCAUGUUCUAUUCUAAGUCGACCCAAGUAGAUCUAUGGCCUCCCAAAUACCUAUAUCCGAAACAAAUUUAGGAUAAUUGGACCGGAAGAACAAAAGAAAUUUAUUCUAGCUAACAAUUUAACAGUACAAUCCAUUUGUUCGCUGGAACAAAUUCAUUUUGUUUUUCGAUCAGGUCCAAUUUACCUGUCCACAAAGAGUUUUUAGAGAAUUAAAUAUGGGUCCCCUCGAUCACCUUCCUUUGAGCCUGGACAGGUUGAGAAAGAUGAACCUACACAACAAUUAAUGUAUAAUGUUCGAACCUAAAUCCCAACAAAAGAUAAAAUUCAAGAACCUAAGCAAUUCAGUUGAGACCUCCGUGACUAGUUCAAAGGAAGUUGAUUUUUUUUAAUCAGGUUAAUAAUAAGAGUAAAAUAGUUUUAAAAAAUAAAAUAAAAACGCCCGCGAGCUUUGUCAAUAUCAAUUCCUAAAAAAUAUCGAGCAAGAAGUCAUAUUAAUUACGUACACAGAUAAAUAAAUUUAAACUACUCAAAAUUAAUGAAUAUAUAUUUCUUACCCAAAGAAUCCACAACUAAUUAACAUCGCCUCUAAAUGAAAUGCCAUGAGCAACGACCUUGAUAGAAAUUGAUCAAAAUGUGUGUACACAACGACGUACACAACCAAAUGAAAGAAGAUAUAUAUAUAUAUAUAUAUAUAUAUAUAUAUAUAUAUAUAUAUAUAUAUAUAUAGAGUCAAGAUCUGGUCAGGUCUCCCGGAUAUUUGUUAAAAUCUGAACUUCUAUUGUGAGCCAUAGGAUGGAAUCCAACGGUUAGGAAAGGGAAUUGGUGGAAAAAAAAAUGCGGAGCUCCAGAUGAGAACGGGUCACGGGUUAUUCAGAUCUGUACUCCAUUUCCAAUUUUCGGUAACCGCGUCUCUCUCUCACCCAUUUCACAAAUUGCCUCUCUCUCUCUCUCACUUAAAGCUCCGGACGAAAUCAGAUACAGCAACUCUGGCCUAAAGCUUUUGGCCUGAAAACUUUGUCUCGCUGUCUCUCUAUCUCCCAAGGUAUUGUCUAAUUAUCUGAUAGAAGAAUAAACUAAAAUCCGAAGUAAAUAAUCUGCAGUAACAAUUUCAAAUUUAGUAUUUAGUAGUUUUCUUGCCUACCUUUGGGCUUUUCUGCUAUUGGAGCCUUUUGUGGAACAUCUGGCUAGUGUAGUAAUUGAAGGCUAUUCUUUUAAGUGUUUUUUGUCUUGUUUUCCAUUUGUUCAGUGGGUGAACUUCUUGUCCCCAUUUUCUUAAAUACUGUGUGUUCUGUUCUUUUUCUAUAAAAAUAGAAUAAUGAACUUGACAAUCCAAUUUAUCAGAAUCUCUAACCAUAAACUGAUGACCAUUGUGUAAAUUCCAUGAACUGGAAUAUGGACUAGAGUCACUGAAAUUGCAAUUUUUGGUCCAUAAACUGCAAUUUUUGGUCCACAAUUAGUGAAAGUAUUUACGAUCCACAAUUUUGUAUAUAUGUACAUAUAAAUCAAUGUUGACUACUUGAGUAGGUUAUUGAUAUUGCCUUGGCUAUAUUUAUGAGGAGCCCCAGAGGGGUCGGAUAUUAAAUUUGGUCGCUAAUUCUCUGGAGAUCAACCUUUCCUUACUCUUUGGAUCAUCAAAUCUUGAUGAAAAUUAUUUAUCAUUCAUCGUGAAGUAAGUUGGAUGAAAUCUUACCUUAUUAGUGAAAAAUGUUUGUGUUUACAUAAUGUUAUCUUAUUAUUUAUAAUUUUGGUUAUUGUAAAAGUUCAUUCUCUAUGUUUGAGAAUGCAACAAUGUUAAAGGAUUCUGACACAAAAGAUGAUUUAUGUCGUAUAAUUGGCACUUGCGCCACCAAAUACCACUACACACCACAAUCGUGUGCUUCAAUCAUUCACUUAAUUCACAAAUAUGAUUUUGUUGUUUUUCACUUGGCUGAUGCAAUUGCUGGGGCUGAAAAGAAGUAUGCUGAUGGAAGUCUGGCCACCUCUCUCGUUAGAGAAUUUGGAAGGACUAACCCGAAAGACUAUGUGAAAGACGUUGUUGGGGAACCACCAACACCAAGGGCAGCUCAUGUAGCAACUGUUGUGGGUACUAUGGUAGUAAUUCAGGUUAGUAAACAAUGUUAUGAGAUUCGAACUUGCUCAAUGUUAUGAGAUUCUGUACAUAAUUUGAAUGCGAACUCUCAUUUUGUGGGUUUUAGAAAAGGAAAGUUGGACUCACAAUUUGGGAUGGAUGGAGUAUAUGUUUGUUUAUCUAUGUCGCGUCUUUUCCAACAGUCAAUGCUUAUUGAUGUUUUACAGACGGAUUAUAAUGUCCGUUAUGUUAUAGGGAUUGUUGUUUGAAGGUCUACUUGGAAUGUGCUUCCCUGUAAUGAUCAACAUAUUGGAAUGAAUGUCGUGGCAUAUUUUGGCAGAAGAAUGCACAAAAGAUCACAUUGUUUAUCUCUUCCCAUCCCCAGGUGACGAAGGUUGAUUAUGCAGACCUUCCUAACCAUCCUGGGCGCUCUUUACACUAUUCUCAGGUACAAUUUUUAGAUCAUAUUAUUUAAUACUAAAUGAAAUUUAUUCACAUCACCAUUGUUCACCCACUUCCUCUUCUUUAUUGUAUUUAUAUGCUUCUUACAGGCAACGGGGGCAGGAUCCGUGCUCAGUUUCCUUACAGGAUCAUUGGCACUCUCUAAGCACAUAACUGAGACCACCAAGUAUUUCAGCAUAACCGUCAGUUUUGGUAUUCUUCCUAUUCGAGUGCAUAUGUUCACCAUAAAAGCAUAAAAUUUCAUCUCCUUAAUUUUGAAUGUUCAUUGGAUAAUGUGAUCGUCUUCAAUUUAUAGGGAGUGUGAAGUCGGUCAUAAGCAUGCCCUGCUUUAUGUCCCAUGCAUCAAUACCAGUUACAAUACGAGAGGCUAGAGGUCUAACCGAGGAUCUUGUUUGUAUCUCUUUCGGAAUUGAGGAUGUGAAUGACUUGAUUGCUAAUCUAGAUCAUGCUCUGAGUACUGGGCUUGUGUAGGGGCAUGAAAAGGAUUAAAUUUUGAAAUAUUUACUUGAUUGCUAAGAAUUGACCUUUUUUAGGUCGUUAUUUUAUGAUCUGAUGAGAUUACCAGUAUCUAGUGUUCUAAAAUAGAAAAUGAAGAUGUAUGUAUCUUGCAAUAUGAGUAAUCUUUUUUCUACUUUUGAGUGAGAGUUCAACCUUUCUCCUUUUCUACAAUAGGGAACAAGUGGUUUGAUUUACUUCAUUAGCUAGCUUAUCAGGAGGAGAUUGGUGCCCAAGUCAAAUAAAUUUGAAAUUUUAUUCUAAACAUAACUAACAAAGUGUCCCAACAUUUGAAAUGUAAUGUUAAUAUCUACAAACAAAUGGUGUAAACACCAAUAACAAACAUACAUAGGUGUCCCGGAACACGUGUUACUAAAGGAGACAAGUUUCAUCUAGUAUUAACAUGUUAGAAUUGAAGGACUCGACUCUUGGGAUUGAAUUUAAGAAAUGAUCUUAUAAUAUUUAAUAUAAUAUUAAUUGUCUAUAUUAUUUUUGUAUUGAAAAAAAAAAUACUAUUUAUUGGACAAAAAAUAGUAAGAAAACCAAAAUUAUAUUUAAUACUUGAGAAAAUAUUAAAAAAUAUUUAAUUAGUUCUCAAACCACUUAUAUAAGGGACAAAAAAACAAUUCUCAAAAACAACUUAUAUUAAGGAAAAUAUUAGGUUUUAGGAUUUGAGGACGCUGCCGUUGAUGCUUUGUUUAGCAGUAUCAGAUGAACAAUCAACGAAAACUUAUAUUCCUCAUCAUCAACAAAUAUUCCAGUUCUUCCCACCAUUUCCUACAAGAAUCACUUCAUCACUUCUCAACUGCCCCUCCUCGUUUCGCAAAACUCACCUCCAAAACGUGUAUUCAACUCUUCAAGAACUGCAAAUCCAUGAUAGAACUGAAACAAAUCCAAACUCAGCUUUUCAGAAUCUGUAUUCACCAAAAAGACGACGUUUUCAAAAAGCACAUGGUCGUAUGCGCAGACCCAUGUCAAAGGAAAUUACGCCCAAAAAAUCUUUGAUUACAUCAUCGAAACCCCGUCUUUGUUCAUCUACAACGCGUGAUGAUCAAAGCUUAUGUGAAGACCAAUUGUUACAAAAAGUUCUAGAGUUGUUGUAUCUGAUUUCUAGCCGGAAGCUUUAGGUCAGAGUUGUUGUAUCUGAUUUCGUUCGGAGCUUUGAGAGAGAGAAAGAGAGACGUGGUUACCGAAAAUUAGAAAUGGAGUCCAGAUCUGAAUAACCCGUGACCCGUUCGCAUCUGGAGCUCCGCGAUUUUUCCCCCCACCAAUUUCCUUUCCCAACCGUUGGAUUGCAUCCCAUGGCUCACAAUAGAAGUUCGGAUUUUAACAAAUAUCCGGGAGACUUGACCAGAUCUUGACUCAUAUAUAUAUAUAUAUAUAUAUAUAUAUAUAUAUAUAUAUAUAUAUAUUACAAAAUAUAAUUAAAAAUUAUAUUAGGGAAAAAAUUCUUGUACUUAACUCUUUUACCUCUAAUGGAUAAAUUCUAGGAUUCAAAUAUUUUAUCCAACUUAUCUUUUCGGGAUCACAAAGCUGGUGAGCGAUGCUAUAUCCUUUUCGAGCCUCAUACUUUUGUGUUUGUUUUCACCCAUAGCCCAGCCUUUAUAUGAUUAAACAAAAUCUUCAUUUCACUUCAUGAUCCCCUGCAAAAUAAUCAUUUAUGUAAUCAUAGAAUAUAUAUACUUAUAUUUUAAUUCAAAUUAUAAUGUUUAUGAUCAAAUAAACCAAAAAAAAUGAUCAUAUUAAUACAUCAACCUAUAUAGAAAAUAUGUUGAUAUAUAUAUAUAUAUAUAUAUAUAUAUAUAUAUAUAUAUAUAUAUAUUGAAAAUACUUCUAAUAGAAUAGAUAUGAUUUAUUGAGGACUCUGAUAUGUUGAAGGGAGAGAGAUACCGAAUGUUUAUUAGUAGAUCAAUCCCACAGAAAAUGAUAUUUUUUAGAAGAAAGAAUAGGUGAAACGGGGAGACGGGGAGACGGAGAGCGGCGACGCAAAGAAAAGAAAGGGGUUAUAUAGGCUAUAGUUCACAACCC
rnacentral:lncRNA from 1 species